CUCCCUCUGGUCGCAUUACAACUUUUGUCAUAUUUUUAAUUGUCAUAACACUUAAUGCAUAAAAUUGUAAGUCAUAAAAAUCUUUAGUUAGAAUUAUUCCUGAGCAUAACUGGGUUUUUGUCAUAAAUGAGUUAUGUCAUAAUUUUUAUAGUCAUUAAUUUAAUUCGCAUAAAAUUUUAAGUCAUCUGCUUCAUAUCCAUAAGUGUUUUUCGUUUGAAGUAUUGCAGUGCAUAGUAUUAAUAUAGACAUACAAAAUUAAGUCAUAUAUUUAGUUGUCAUAAUGUUAACUAAUCAUAGUAGGUAGGUUAGGUUCGUUAGGUUACUUUAGAUGCCCGAAGGGCAAACUACGCAGAAAUAGGAGCCCCGCGUGAGCGGGGCUCCGUCGAAUUAAGUGUUUGGACGGAGAUUAGGGAAAAAGCUUUUUAGAUGAGUUGUUGAGAGGCUAAAAUUAGUUUCUUAAAUUAUUUAUGUAAACCAUUAUGUUUGAAAAUUAUUAUGCUACAAAACGUUAUACGUAAAAAACAUUAUAAGUAUCGAUAAAUAUGGUUUUAGCUGGUGUGAUAAUUGAUUCAUUAUAAUCAAAACCUAUAUGCACAAAAAAUAUAUGACAACUGCUGAGUAUGUCAUCAAAUAUUAUGGCUAAAAAAGUAUGACACAAUAUAAUAUGGCUUUUCAUUUGUAUGCGCAAUGAUGAUUAUGACACAAGUUGUUAUGCGCAUCAAAGAUAUGACUUAAACUUGUAUGCAACCCAAUAUGGACCC